UACAAAAAAUAGAAAUAUUAUAUAGGCACCUAAGAUCUUGCCUAUCGAGACAAAUACCAGACAAUACCAGGCAAUCUUAUUCUUUAAAACUUAUCUCGGCUUAUUACAUUGAUUGAUUAUUAAUAUUAAUAUUAUCAAUAUGUUAUUUUACAGUAACGGUAUCAGCAUCCGCAAUCAUAGUGUAAUACAUAUAUUCUUCAAUGAUUUAGUCGCUUUUCAAUAUCGACGAUCAGUCAAUUACAGUUGGCGCAAUAUUUUUGCAUCAUUUGGUGGUUUACUUGGAUUACUUGCUGGUUUCAGUCUCAUAUCUAUUUUCGAACUAUUGUAUUUUUUUAUAAUACGUGUGAUAACCAAUGCUUGUGUCAAUUCAAUGAAAUGUAACAAUAUAUAGUAUAAUGAUACAUUCAGAAAUGGUUAAGAUUUAUUAGAAAUAUUAAUUCUAUUUGUAAAAUG